rnacentral:rRNA from 1 species
CAGAGGUGGCAAGCGUUGUUCGGAAUUACUGGGCGUAAAGGGCGCGUAGGCGGCCUUCUAAGUCAGACGUGAAAUCCCCCGGCUUAACCUGGGAACUGCGUCUGAUACUGGGAGGCUUGAGUAUGGGAGAGGGAUGUAGAAUUCCAGGUGUAGCGGUGAAAUGCGUAGAUAUCUGGAGGAAUACCGGUGGCGAAGGCGGCAUCCUGGACCACAACUGACGCCGAGGCGCGAAAGCUAGGGGAGCAAACGGGAUUAGAUACCCCGGUAGUCCUAGCCCUAAACGAUGAAUACUUGGUGUGGCGGGUAUCGAUCCCUGCCGUGCCGAAGCUAACGCAUUAAGUAUUCCGCCUGGGGAGUACGGUCGCAAGGCUG